AGACCCGAAACCCGGUGAUCUAGCCAUGGGCAGGUUGAAGGUUGGGUAACACUAACUGGAGGACCGAACCGACUAAUGUUGAAAAAUUAGCGGAUGACCUGUGGCUGGGGGUGAAAGGCCAAUCAAACCGGGAGAUAGCUGGUUCUCCCCGAAAGCUAUUUAGGUAGCGCCUCGUGAAUUCAUCUCCGGGGGUAGAGCACUGUUUCGGCUAGGGGGCCAUCCCGGCUUACCAACCCGAUGCAAACUGCGAAUACCGGAGAAUGUUAUCACGGGAGACACACGGCGGGUGCUAACGUCCGUCGUGAAGAGGGAAACAACCCAGACCGCCAGCUAAGGUCCCAAAGUCAUGGUUAAGUGGGAAACGAUGUGGGAAGGCCCAGACAGCCAGGAUGUUGGCUUAGAAGCAGCCAUCAUUUAAAGAAAGCGUAAUAGCUCACUGGUCGAGUCGGCCUGCGCGGAAGAUGUAACGGGGCUAAACCAUGCACCGAAGCUGCGGCAGCGACACUGU
rnacentral:rRNA from 1 species